AACAUAACAGAAACGGUCAAAGACUCUCACUUAACUAUCUUCCAACCGCCUUGCCUCCCUCUCCGCCCCCCUCUCCUUGUACGUCUCUUUACAUUUCUCCUCCAGCUGUGCCCUCAUCCAUGUUACCACGUUGGACAGUUUGCAGCUAGCAGCACAAGAGGCAGUGGGGGGUGGUGGAGGAUUUGUGCCAUGGAGGUUUGUAUGUCUCAACACUCCAUAAGAAAGCACCAUAAUGUUGAUCAUUUCCAUCAAUGUUCUCAGAUUGUGAGGUGAAUACUUGCCUGCCUAAUUUGAUAGAGAGAGAGAGAGAGAGAGAGAGAGAGAGAGAGACGGGCUACAGGAGAAGCGUGGGAGUUUUAGAGUACUUUAAUUUCAGUGACCUUCCUUUUUUCAUGCAGUCUGGCUGGGCUGCAAGUCUACAAGUCUACGCAGACAGUCGUGGUGGGGACUCGACAGACGAGGACGAGGCACAUCCUGGACUGGUCGCCGGUCCAUCGCAGGAAAGACAUCCCCGUCGUAUUUAUACACCCACGGACAAAUUAUACCCUAACUCGCAUGAGGAAGUCGUAAGACGAACCCACACAGGCACGUUUAGAACAUGCACACUCCCUCCAGUGCAGCGCUAUGCACAUUUGAACUGAGGACCUCCAUUCUGUGAGGCAAACCACCGUUCCACCCUGCCAAGUAGGGUUUGGGUAAGAAAAUUGAACCUUUGUUUUUCUUUCCCCAUACUGAAUACAUAUCACGUUACCUCUCCAAAUGUGAGUGAGAAACAACACCCGAUUCUUGAAGCAGUUUUGUCUCCCACCCAAAGGCUUCCUCGUUUCUCUAUGAAUGUAGAUAUACUUGUGUUCCUUGUCACAAUCAGAUCAUGUUGAAACGAUACCCCCCACAUGGUUGAACCCAAGCUAGAAGCUCCUGGUAAAAGAACGUGAGGAUGUAGCAAAAUGAACCGAGAAAGCUAAAAACACAAACUUCCACGCGGCUGGUUGGACGUGUGGGAAGAAGGUAUGAGAUGACAGGAAAGGCCCGAUGACUCAGACAGGAAGUUUCAAGCACCUGAGAAGAUGACAGCUUGACCCCCUGAGUCCGCCUUCACACAGCUGGCCCUCUAAGAGGGUCCGGGGGGGUCCGGCUGAAGGUCCACUAAGCCCCUCACAGUCCAUAUGGCCAGGGGGGCUUACGCACCCCGCGAUGACACGAGAAGGCGAGCCCAGAGGCUGGAAACGCGGCGCGGAGACAUUCAGAGAUGUGCGCUCAUGUGCGACACACUCUAGGAAAGGCCUCAUUUGUGUGAGCCCACGCACAUGUUUGGAUAACCACUUGUCUGGCUGCAAGGCGAGAGCGGGGGAAACUAACUCUACAGGAUGUGUGGCAUGGUGGAAUGUGUGCGUGUGUGUGUGUGUGUGUCAGGGUAAAUAAAGGAAGAGCAAUAAUGACUGUGAGUCAUAUGAUCCGGCUGCACGGUCAUACUAAUGGCAUUAGCCCCAUCGAGAGACCUGCAGGACUCCUCCUGUCCUUCUUGUCGCUGUGUUUCCUCCUCUCCUCUUCUCAGUUUCCUUCUCCUCGGUCCAACACGUCUUCCUCUCCGUCACUCAGCUUGUUUAUUGAUCUGUUUUAGAUUGUUCUAGACACACUGCC
ensembl:lncRNA